AGGACGAACGCUGGCGGCGUGCUUAACACAUGCAAGUCGAGCGGUAAGGCCCUUUCGGGGGUACACGAGCGGCGAACGGGUGAGUAACACGUGAGCAAUCUGCCCUUCACUUCGGGAUAAGCCUCGGAAACGGGGUCUAAUACCGGAUAUGACCGCGCUACGCAUGUGGUGUGGUGGAAAGUUCUGGCGGUGGAGGAUGAGCUCGCGGCCUAUCAGCUUGUUGGUGGGGUAAUGGCCUACCAAGGCUUCG
rnacentral:rRNA from 1 species